GACGAACGCUGGCGGCGUGCUUAACACAUGCAAGUCGAGCGGUAAGGCCCUUUCGGGGGUACGACGAGCGGCGAACGGGUGAGUAACACGUGGGUGACUUGCCCUCAGCUCUGGGAUAAGCCCGGGAAACUGGGUCUAAUACUGGAUAUGAUUCCACGGUGCAUGUCGUGGGGUGGAAAGCCUUGUGCGGCUGAGGAUGGGCCCGCGGCCUAUCAGCUUGUUGGUGGGGUGAUGGCCUACCAAGGCGACGACGGGUAGCCGGCCUGAGAGGGCGACCGGCCACACUGGGACUGAGACACGGCCCAGACUCCUACGGGAGGCAGCAGUGGGGAAUCUUGCGCAAUGGGCGAAAGCCUGACGCAGCGACGCCGCGUGAGGGAUGACGGCCU
rnacentral:rRNA from 1 species